ACGCAGACGUACGGGUUUCGUGACAGGCGAGCCGUUUGAAUUAACGUGGUUCGUUGUCGACGAAACUUGCACGAUUUGCAA
rfam:Nasonia vitripennis chromosome 1, whole genome shotgun sequence.